UUUUAGACGGAGUCUUGCUCUGUCGCCCAGGCUGGAGUGCAGUGGCACAAUCUCGGCUCACUGCAACCUCCGCCUCCCAGGUUCAAGCAAAUCUCCUGCCUCAGCCUCCUGUGUAGCUGGGAUUACAGGCACGCGCCACCACGCCCGGCUAAUUUUUUUUUUUUUUUUUUUUUUUGUAUUUUUAGUAGAGACAGGAUUUCACCAUGUUGGCCAGGGUGGUCUCAAUCUUCUGACCUCAUGAUCCACCCACCUUGGCUCCCAAAGUGCUGGGAUUACAGGCACGCGCCACCAUGCCCAGCUAAUUUUUGUUUUUUGUUUGGUUGGUUUUUGAGACGGAGUUUCGCUCUGUUGUCCAGGCUGGAAUGCAGUGGUGCGAUCUCAGCUCACUGCAAGCUCCGCCUCCCGGGUUCAUGCCACUCUCCUGCCUCAGCCUCCCGAGUAGCUGGGACUACAGGCGCCCACCACUGCGUCCGGUUAAUUUUUUGUAUUUUUAGUAUAGACGGGGUUUCACGUUAGCCAGGAUGGUCUCGAUCUCCUGACCUCGUGAUCCGCCCACCUUGGCCUCCCAAAGUACUGGGAUUACAGGCGUGAACCACCGUGCCCGGCCUUCCCCAGAUAUCUUCAAAGCAACUGCUAGUCCUGCUUUUGCACAUUACACUCUACAUUCUCAUUGCCCCACUUAACUAACCCUCCCUCAUGUCCUUUUCUAAAGAUGUAGAAGACUUUGAAAUAGCAUAACAUUUAAAUGGUCACAAAUCACCUGGCUUGAAAGUGACUAAUAAUAGGAAAAUCAGACCUCAGGACUGAGUUCAAUUUCAAGAUUCUCCCACUCCACUUUGCUAAGAGGGAAACAGAAAAACAUUACUCCAGCCACACAAAUAUGAUACUGUGCAAGUAUCCCACUCUUACUCAUUCAAAUCCUACCCAUUUUUUCCCAUCGUGGAACAGAGUCUUGCCAACUUAUACCUCUCUCCAAUAACCCAUAAAGAUGGUGAUUUGAAUUUGGGCCAAGAUUUAACAUUUUAUGAAAUACAAGAGGAGAGUUUUCUGCAAAACACAGGAUUUGCAGACAAGGAGACUUAGGUUCAAAUUCCAGUUCUGCCAUUUAUUACCUCAGAGAGGUCAUACAACUUUCCUGAAGUUGUAUGACCUCUCUGAGCCUUAGUCUCCUCGUUUGUAAAAUGAGAGUUAAAAUCUACCUCAUGGAAUCAUUGCUAAGAUUAAGCAAGAUAUAUAAGUAGAGCUUGUGCACAUGGUAGGUACUUGGAGAAUGUUAUUUCUCCUUCCCUCUUACUCAUCUGGACAAGUUUAACUAGAAUUCUAAACAGUUAAAUAUGUAUCAAUCCUUUGUAUUAAAUAUCUUGAUGGUAAAAUGUUAAAAUAUUGAUGUGAAUAACAGCUGGUAUUGAAUAUUCAAAUUAGGGGAACUCUUUCAUUGUUUUAAGAUAACAUCUGUACAUUUAAUCUGUGCCAUGCAAUAAAACAGCUUUUCCUGAAACAGCUUUUUAAAAACUAUUUUUAAGAAAUUCAUAAGUUACUUUUAAGAACAUUAGCUUAGAACAUCUUCCCCUUUCACAACAAAUUAGACAUUAGAGCCAAAAUUGCCCAAAUUGGUAUAGUUUCUAUCUCCCUACACUUUAAUCAAGAUGUUUGUCUUUAUAUCAGCAAAAACCGCUACUUAAGUGAGAUUCCUGCAUCCCAAUAAAUGUAUCUGGGCAUUUGGUACUUGAGAGAGGAUUGGGUUUGACAACACCCAGAAGCUAAUGAGGAUGUGCCUUCUCUCAGACCUUUGCAUUCAGGAGCAAGAAAGCAGAAAUACUUUGUGGACUCCUUUUCAGACACUUUACAAAAUACAAAAUUUUAACCUUGUGAAACACAAAAUAAAUGCAGGAUAAAUGUCCAAACAUUUUAGCCCCUACUGUUUUUGAAACUGAAUAAAGCCAUGAUAGUGAAAAAUAUUUUCCAGUCAGUGCUUUUUGGAAGCUAUUUAGUAGAUAUUAAUUUGAUGGGUUAGAGAUUGCUAUUAUCCCAUUAAAUGAAGCUGUUUCUACUUCAUAUUCAAAUAUAUUUCAAGUUGAACUUGCUUAAAUCUAAAAUGCUUACACAAGCAAACUGUGGAAAGAAUUUAGUCACGCAAAAGAAAACUUUUUCUUAAUCCUGGAUAAGUCAACUCUAAGAAAGCUGUCCAGAGCCUACAGAGCAAAAAGGACUUUCCUUCCAGCCUCCUCACCAUGUCCAAUCUAGUCCAGAUGUGAAGAGUCAAUUUUGGUUUUAAACAAAAUUUGCAUGCAGCAGCAUUAGAACUAAUGAAAACAGUAUCCAGACUAAGACGUGCAUACAAAAUCUUUCACAUCAUGAGAAACUAAAAAUUUGUUAAAACAUCAGUCGGCAGGAACAGACAUCUCAAGCUCCACUGAUAAGGGAAGCAAAACUGGAACUACAUGCCGCUUUUAAAAGUGUCUCAAAUUUAAGCUCACUCAAGGACUAUUAAUAGACAGUGUCAAACUGACAUGCCGUUUCAUCAUUAAAUCAUCUUAUUGGUUUGCAAGUUUCCAAGCCUCAGGGCUUCAUUAUGCAUCAGCAUAGGACAACACCAGAAUUUGGGGACAAAGACAACAUCCCUUUUUGAAAGAGGUGGUAAGAAUAAAAACAGGUUGGCCAACCUUGGAAGCCACCGCAGUAUGGCUUCCCAUGAACCAAAAAGGCAAUUGAAUUGUAUUUGUUUUCAAGGCAUACGUUUGGAAAAAUAGCACUUUUUCCAAGCAUGUGCUUAGUUAGAACAAAUGAUUUAUUGCUUAAAACCCAGUCUUUUACUCACACGCUUGUGAAAAUAAGAAGAAAUUACCUAUUUCACCAUAGAUUAUUAAAUGGACGUUAACAGUUAUUGACAAUCGAGUCUUGUGAUAAGAAAUUAAAAUUAUAAAGUAAAUCUUCCCGUCUUUAAAUUCUAGGUGGUAGAGUUCUGAGAACACUUACAAUGAACUUUAAGGGAGUAAUUGAUUAUGCUUUUGAAGUCUCCUAUAUUCACAUAUUGGCUGAAAGUAAAGCAUUUUAAAAUUGGAGAAUGAAAUGAAGAGCAAUAACAUUUGUUAUAUGAAAACUGUGGUUUUACUUUUAAAAUGGGAUUUUAAAAAUGUAUUAGUUGGGUCGGGUGUGGUGGUUCACACCUGUAAUCCCAGCACUUUGGGAGGCCAAGGCGGGUGCAUCACCUGAGGUCAGGAGUUUGAGACCAGCCUGGCCAACAUGGUGAAACCCUGUCUCUACUAAAAAUACAAAAAUUAGCUAGGUGUGGUGGCACACGCAUGGGAUCCCAGCUACUCGGGAGGCUGAGGCAGGAGAAUCGCUUGAACCCGGAAGACAGAGGUUGCAGUGAGCCGAGAUCGUGCCAUUGCACUCCAGCCUGGGCAAUGAAGCAAGACUCCAUCUCAAAAACAACAACAACAACAACAACAACAAAUGUAUGAGUUGGAUGAGUUUAAUUUUUUGCUUUCUGUUUCUGCCUAAAGAUAAACCAAUUUAGCAUAUAUUGAUAUUAAGAUGUCUGCCAUAUUUUGAACGUUAGCCUGUUGAUUUACAGUCUUCCAAAUAAGACUGAUGCCUGAAGCUCAUUUUUUGGUUAACUGCUUCUGUUAGUUGCACACCUUUUCCUACCUUCCUCUAAUCUUAAGUCUAUUUAGUCAUUUGAAAUAUCAGUUUUCACCUGUUAGUAUUACUAGCUAUGUUUGCUAUAUUUCACAAAUACAUUUCUAAAACAAUCCAUUAAUUAGAAUUGGACAUUAAUAGUGAGGCAUGUCAUUCUCUGUAACAACUAAGAUUUUAAGUAGAAAUUAUUUCACUAAUUCAUCUUUUAUUUCUCAAAGUAUUCAAGGCUAAAAUUUGGAGUUCUUUAAUUUUCAUUCUAAGAGGCAAGUAUUAAUUAUACUAAUGAGUUCAGAUGUUUUUAUUUAUUUUUCCUCCCAAUGACCUAUUCUUAAUGAACAUGGUAUUAUUAAGAGACAUUCCAGUGAAUCAUCUCCUGUAUUUUUUUACAUGCAUAAAUUAUAUUCCCUAAGGCCAGACUCUUAAACAGACAGAUGAACCUAAUAGUCUCAACAAUGAUUUAAAAACUGGCCCUCAAUUUUCUUCAUUCAUUCCUGAUCUCGUGGAGUUGUGGUCCUUUACUUGGUUUUAACACAGUAUUCAACAAAUUGUUGUUAUAGUUGAUAACAUCUACUCAUUCUUUUACCUGCCUUAAAAAGUGUAAUAAAAGUAUUCAUACAAAGUAUAAAAUACAUACAAGUAUAAAAAUGUAUAAUACAUUUAAUUUACAUGCAUCUCUACAAUGACAAGUAUGAUUUCUUUAGAAACUGAUGCAUACAUUUUCACUGUUUUUCUUUCAUUAUAUAUCAGUUUUAAUGCAUACUACUUAGAAAUUAGAAUCAUUUUGAGUUUCUUGAAGAGCCUUGAUAAUUAUAGUCUCAAAAUUAAGGAACCUAGACAAACAAAGUUAAAAUAUUUAUGACAUUUUGCUUGGGCAUACAUUCAUAUUUCCAUUAAUAUAUAAUUGCUACAUUAUUAAUAAGUGACAUAUUUAUUAUAAUGAAACACCUCCACGAAUUUAGUGAAUUGUAAUUCUUAUCUCUUCCUCUGAAGUAUUAUACUUAGAAAUACGUAUCUUCAGUUACUGAUUUGGGUACGACAGGGAACCUGGCUGGAUAUCAUUAUUAUUUGAUAUAUGCCAUAUAACCUUCUGUUUGGGGAAUAUAAAAUCCCUCAAAUUGGAAAUGUUCAUGACUACCCAUGGGAUAAAUCCAGCUGUUUUUGUUUGGGGUCCAGAGCAUAAAAACAGAAAAGGAAAAAUGCAGCUUCCCAACAGACCACUACCAAACCACCAUAACAGACAGUCUGCUAGAAGAGAACUGAUCAGGCCAUUAUGUCACCGGACAACAGGACAAUCAUCUGAGUUGGGAUGCUGAAUCACGGCAACUCCAAGACAUCUGGGAUUUUUUUUUUACCCUCACAUUGGAUACAAUCUAUGGAAUAUUACUACAUUUAGUUCAUUUGUAAUUUACAAUUUUUGAUGACUAAAAUUGGAAAAGGAUUAGUACAUUCCUACUGGCUUUACAUAUUAGUAUUGGGCUGUCACCAUUACCCAGAUUAUUUAAAAUGUAAAUUUUCUUUACUCACUAGAUUGGAAGCUCCUUAAGAGCAAGGGCUACUUCUGUAUUAUUCAUCUUCAUGCCACGUCACUUAGAACCUAGUAGAUACUCAAUAAAUACCUAUUGAGCUGAACUGACCUUGUCUGAGUAAAAGUGAGUCCAAUACACAAGUUACUAGAUUGUAGGUUGGUUUGACACAAACUUAAUUUUGAAACUAAAAAUGAACUAAAGACACACUGCCUGAGAGAAGCAGGCUCUCUAUCCCUGUAUUCCUAUUCUCACGAAUAUAGGUAAACUAAGUUUCCAUUAAGCACAGUAUCUAAAGAUGCUGACACAUCUGCUAGUUUAAUCUCUUUGAAUUGCCUUUCAUGUAUGACCUAAUGUUUAGAAAAUGACAAGGAUCACACAUGUAGAGUGACAUCCCUGAUUAACAGUGAUGAGCAGAGGCCUCAGACCCAGGGGAAGCAGAGAACAUACAUAUUUAGUCCAUAUCACCAAGGCAACACAGUGUACCUCAGCACAGUAGAAAAACAAGCACAGAUGUUGAUGUUGAAUAUUUAAAAAGUGUUCCUUACACCCACUGUAACAGUGGUUAGACACAAAGAUGAAUUAUUUCAAAAACCAAGCUAUUAAAAGUUUUUACUUCUCUAAUGUAUGUAUAUGUGUGCUUUGUUUUUCAUUGCUAAUACUCCAUAGGCAGUCUUGGUCAAAAAACAUUCUCUUAGCAACAAAAAUAAAGGUUCAAAGUUUGAUUCUGACAUAAAUGACUUGUAUAUUCUUUUUAAGAACAUAAGGAGCUACAGGCCUCAAAUAGGGUGCCUCCUCCCCCAAAUAGGGAGACAUCUGAAUUUGAAGCCAGUAAGUCAGCAAAAAAUUAAACUAUCUGUUGAAGAAACCCCCCUGGGAGAUGACUUACAAAUGAGUUCCUGAUGAGACUAUUUAUACUUUCGUGGACCAGGAAUAAAUAAUAUGGAUAUACAGGAGGCAUAAAAACAAGUUAAUGACUUCACAGUGAUACAAUCAACAAAAUCCAGAAUAUGUGUGGAAACUUUAAAGACAAAACAACUAGAUUUCUUAAAUAAUUUAAGGGGGAAAAGAAAAGGUAACUUAUAAAUUAAACAGACUUCAAUAAAUAACAACCAAAUGCAAUGUAUGAACCUUGUGUGGUACCUAUUUCAAGCAAACCAACAGUUAAAGAGAAUUAACAGUCUAGACAGUUGAUCAUAUUAAGAAACAGUUCAACUUUUUAGGUGUGAUAAUGGUAUUGUGGGGUUUUUCUAAUUUUUAAAGAUACACACUAAAGUAGUUAUGACGCCAGGCAUGGUGACUCAUGCCUAUAAUCCCAGCACUUUGGGAGGCUGAUCACUUGAGGCCAGGAGUUCAAGACCAGCCUGGCCAACUAUAAAAUAUAUAAAAAUUAGCUGGGCACGGUGGCUCAUGCCUGUAAUCCCAGCACUUUGGGAGGCAGAGGGGGACGGAUCACUUGAGGCCAAGAGUUCAAGACCAGUCUGGCCAACAUAGCGAAACCCCAUCUCUACCAAAAAUACAAAAUUAGCCGGGCAUGGUGGCACGUGCCUGUAAUCCCAGCUACUCAGGAGGCUGAGGCACAAGAAUCGCUUGAACCCGGGAGGUGGAGGUUACAGUGAGCCAAGAUCGUACCACUGCACUCCAGCCUGGGCAACAGAGCAAGACCCUGUUUCAAAAAAAAAAAAAAAAGAAUAAAGUAGUUAUGGAUGAAAUGAUAGGAUGUCUGGGAUUUGCUUCAAAAUAAUUGGGGGGUGGGGAGAAAUAAUUGAGGUAUAGAUGAAAUAAGACUGACCAUAAACUGAAACUGGGUGAUGGAUAUGGAGAGGUCCAUUAUACUAUUCUCCAGACUUCUUAAUAUGUUUAGAAUUUUCCAUUGAAGUUUUUUUUAAAAAAACAAUCAACAAAACACACACACACACACACACACACAUACACACACACACACACACACACACACGAGAAUGAGCACUGCUGGGUCCCCUGGAGUAAUAGAAUAAAAUUCCUAGUCUAGUUUCUAGCCCCAUUUAACUAGACAGUUUCUCUAGAGGUCUACCAUAAAAUGGCAAUCCAUUGACCAAGUCCUGCUCUUCACUCUUAUAUCAUUAGCCUAAGAAAGGACAUUAGUUGUAUGAGUUUGCUUACUUACCAGAUACCUUUUAAUGUCCAAGUUUGCUACCCAAUUUUAACUUGAGUUUAAGAAAACUUAAAAUAAUUUCUGAAGCUAAC
rnacentral:lncRNA from 1 species